AAAUGGCGUCAUCCCCGUGCGCGGGCAGCGUUCGUGGUCAGGCCUUGCGGAGCGUGGAGGUGCUGCUAUGGCUUCCAGCGGGAUCGGUGUGAACGCGGGCGGCUCGGCAAAUGAAGCUCCAGAAAUUCCAGACAAUGUGGGAGAUUGGCUUCGGGGCGUCUACCGCUUCGCCACCGAUAGGAAUGAUUUCCGGAGGAACUUGAUCCUCAAUUUGGGACUUUUCGCUGCAGGAGUUUGGCUGGCCAGGAAUUUGAGUGACAUUGACUUAAUGGCACCUCAGCCAGGGGUGUAGCCAAAUAGCGUCUAGUGUUGCUGCCUCUGGGUACCUGAGGAGUCUGUGACUGCAGGGGCACCUCCAUGAAUGUGCAGCUCAGUGAGGAUUCUGAUAUGGGUGUCUAUUCAACUCAUUUUGAACAUUUUGUUAAUUUGAUACAGGGGUGUUCAGCUAAGCCUGAGGGAUGAAGUAGAUGCUCUAUUCUUCUCCAUUUCACCCCUACACUGAUCCCUGUGACUACAGAGCCUCAAAGUACUUUGUGAUUAGACCUCCUCAGAUGCAUCUUUAUAACCUCCCCAGAUGUACCUUUGUCCUGAUUCUUUGACCCUCAAGGGAUAAAGUAAAUGCCCGUAAGUACUCCCCUUUCAAAUGUUAAAAGCUUAAAUAAACUUUCUCUUCCCAUCGUACACAUCAUUCUUUUAAAACCCUAAAUGCCAAGACACAUACCUCAGUAGCAUAGUAUAGAGGUUUUACUUGAAUCUCUUCAGUUGCCCACCUUUUUAACUUUAAAAAUUCUUUCUGCAUAUUCUCACAAUAAAAAUUCUCUUUCUGCA